GUUCGAAAGAGAGACUGAUGCUUAUGGUAGGAUAAGGUGAUACUACUUGUGAAGCUGAGAGAAACAACCACAUGAUCAUUGAUACAUGACUUACUAAAAGGAAAAGUCAUUUCAGAGGCUGGGCAUCACCACAAAGAAGACCUAUUGCUGACAGAUGACUCAGCUGGAUGAGAUACAGUGGUCUAACAGGUCUAUAUAGUAGAAGGCAAUCAGACUUUCAGGUUUCCGAGGAGACACCAUGGGGAGGAAUAGAGCUUCUCUCUUUAAUGGCCUCAAUCAUGAGCCAAGUUCAGUACACUGAGGUUGUCAAGCAGUCUCUGUCGCACAAACACGGCUCGUGUCUUAAAGCACGUGGAUGAGAUGGAGCUGACCAAGCACACUUGCCACCUGCUCCAGAGGGGACUGCCUGAUUCUUGUUAAGUGUGUGUGAGGGGGGAUCCGAUGUUCAGUGCUACAGAAAGGAGCAACAGUACCCAGUUGAUUUCUCCUCUGCUCCUCCAUGUGCACCUGAAGAAGCACCUCCUGCUCAUGAGCAUGGAGAAGAAUCAGUUGGGAGUGGUGCCUGGCUGUCAGCUCUGCCACUCAGUUAAUUCCACUCCCUCCACCUGUGCCAGAGAAAAGCCCCUCUUUUAUAUGUGAACAAGGUGGGUGGCAGUUGCUGAUUGGUGACAGCACAGAGUAGUUGAUUUCUCUGCUCAUCUCCUUUUCUCAUUUUCACUUGGGAGACAGGGUCCCCAACCCCACAGCAACAAAAGAGGAGGCAGACCUCAUCCCCUUGUUCUUGCUUACCAGAGAGGUGUCCUCAACACCUUUCAAGCAUCUGUGAUGAAGGGGGAGGUUGCACUCAUCCCCCUUCUUGCUUCCACUUAAAGAAAUGUCCUCAACCUGGUGCUUGCCCUCUUUCUCUCUUCUGCCUGCAAGAGAGCAGUUCCCAAAGGAGCAUCCACCUAAAUGCCUUUCUCAUAAGUAGA